rnacentral:ncRNA from 1 species
CUUUUUUGGUUUCCAGCUCGUCUGGAAUGAAAAGGGAAUCCGGUGAAGUCGAAAGGCCAUUCCGGAACUGUACCCGCAGCUGUAAUCCUGUUCGCUUACGCGAUCAUGGCGCUUGCAAUACUCCACUGACAUAGGUCGGGAAGGAGCAAGUGCUGGGAAAGUCAGAAGACCUGCCAAGAAAAC